GACUGCUAAACGAAUGUUACGGGUUCGAAUCUCGCCCGGUGACUAACUUUUGUUUUUUUUUUAUAUGUUCAAGUUUAUACAUAAUUUUUUAAUUUUUAUUGUUUUAGACAAGUUUAAUUUAGUAAAAAAAUGUAGUUAAGAUUAUCACCUAUACACCACCAUAUUACAAUAAAUAGUUAUAACCGAGCAAAGCUCGGUCGCCCAGGUACUUAUUUAUUAUGUCCAAUAAAAUUUAACACUCAAUUGAUAUAAGCCUAAAUUAUGCUUAUCAAAACGUUAUUAUUAAUUUAUUUACUAAAUGGCAACUUUGCACUUCCAAGCCUAUUUCGUACAGAGUAGUAAUUAAAAAUAUGUAACUCUCACAGGCGGAUUCUCCGGUAGCUGGUUGCUCUACAGACCCAGCCAGGCUGCAGGGUUAAGCAGAAACUCUGCCAGUUGCUGCUACUGAACCAGCUACAAUGAUAGAUCAUGGAACCAACCACGGAAGAAACGACAUAAUUGCUUGCAACACUUUAGUAUUCAUGGUAUAUGGACUAAGAAAAUCAUGGAAUAAACCUGUGGCUUUUUAUUUUUCGGGUAAAUCGGCGACUGUCUGCAACCGAGAGUGUCUGCAACUCUCGGUAUUAAUUCAAGAGAUGGCACAAUUAACAUUGCUGGGCAGAAAGUAUAUUUUUUUACCCAUCUUCUGAAAUGUUUGAGAAACAAUUUUCUCAAUAAAAACAUUAUUUAGGAAAGAAAGAGGGUCUCAUGGAAAGAUAUUCAAUUUAUAUACGACAUAGACAAUAGAUGGGGACACACAAGGGUCUUACCCAAAUCAACUGCACAUCACGUUGACUCAGACAAAAUAAAAAAAAAUUAAGGUCGGCGUAGCGGCGCUAGUUUUCAGUUCUCAAACGGCGGCUACGGUAAACUAUACAGCAGCGCUUAAUAAGCUUCACACUGGUUCAGACUCAAGUGACACCAUGGAAACUACAGCGGAAAUCAUCGAAUUUUUCGACACCCUAUUCGACAGUGUCAACGGCUUCUUGGCGCCACCACCACAAAAGGGAAACUGAGAAAAGCAGUUAAAAAAAAAACUCAGCACACUCGUUUCUGGUUAGAAGCCAUUGAUUUCGAAAAAUCCAUUAUGAAGAUACAAGUAGCAAAUUGGCUGUAGCAAGGAAAGCUUUCGAAGCAGAAAUUCGAAAUCCAGCCGUUCUUUUUUUCGACAAAUUUUCAUGUGUGUGUUAACGAUCCCGUUCGUAGACUUGUUUUCAUCAUUUGCAAGCCUGAAUGUAAUUUACUUAAUUAUGACUCUAUAUCUGUCUAAAUAUUAUCUUAAUAUAAGCAUCUGAAGACGUUCUAAA